UACACCAAGUUAGGCCUCCAGGUCUACAGACUUCAGUGAGAUACAGCGGGGAACUUUCCGUCCAUGGACAGAAGCAAGAUAAGGAAGCUGAAGCUCAGAGAAGACAAAUGACUUGCCUAAGGUCACAUAGCCAGCUCUCUCACUGCCUGCCUCCCGGCAUCCUCCCUGGGAGAUCUUCCAUUAAGUGUCUAAUCCAAGAGGCAUCCUGUCCUCUGAGGAAUGGUUGAAGGAGCUGGAAAAGAGAAGACUUAAGGGGCCCGAGGCUUUGUCAGCCCUUUGAAGGGCUGUCAUGGGCAGAGGAAGCCAAUGUGUUCUGCGUGGUUCCAGCAGUAGAGUUAAACCAGACUUCUGUUGGUAUUUUCACUCUAUUAUCACCUGGAAUCAUCCAAACAACAAUAUGAGAUGAGGAGUAUUGUCCCCAGUUUACAGAUGAGUAAACUAAUACCCAGGCCCACACAGCUAGGAAGGCAUGGAGCUGCCUUUCAAAACAUCAAAUCCAGCAUUUUCCACAUCCUGACCAAUGGACAAAGGCAACAAGUAGGCAGCAUUGAGUUCUGCGUAGGCGGCCCUUUGGAACGACCCCAACCAGCAGCCCCAACCCCACCUAUCCACCAAUUUCAGCAACUGCCUGGAACCCACUUCCUGUUGGAUCCCGUCUCUCCUCCACCCCGACCCUGCUCUACACCUCUGGCCUAUACCCCAGCUUCGCAUCUGCCCCUGGCAUUCCUCUUUGCCUGGGGGCAACACUCAUUCUCCCCAAAGGACUUGCCCUCAGACUUUCUUCACUUUAGACCUCUCAGAACUGAGUCCAGCCCAGGUAGUUUGCUCUGUGCUCCCAUCCUGUUCACUCUCGCCCUCUUGAUUUGACAAUAAGGAAGAACUUUCUAACAGAGCUGUCCAAGGAUGGACAGGUGGGGCCGGCUUCUCAGGGUCCAGGGAUUGGGUUGGGGGCUGUCUGAGCUGGGAAUCCUUCAAGUGAUUUCUUGUUACUUAGGUAUUAAUUUUCCUAUGUGAGCCCUUCUAUGAUUGUGCCCAGGUUUUGCACUUAGCCUCUUGUUUCCCAUUCUUUCUCUCUCUCCCAGCCUCAGACUGUCUUUUUGGCCCUUUUCUGUUUAUUAUUCUCUCUCAUUCUCUCUUUAUCUUUCUCUGUUCAUUUUUACCUUUCCCUCCUUCAAUCCAUCUCUCUGAUUCUGCUUCUGCUUUUCUGUUUCUGUCUUCCUUCCCUCAAUCCCAGUCUCUCUGUCUCUCCUCUCCCUUUCCUGCUCUCCCUCUCUCAUAUGUAUCUCUCUCUCUCUCUUUGUCUCUCUAGCUCAGUCUUCCAUCUCUUUCACUUUUACUCUACAUCGCACUGUAUUUCCAUCUCUCUGUCUCUGUCUCUCUCUCUCUUUCUCAUAUUUUUCCAUUUCUCUGUCUUUGCCUCCCCUGCCCCAGCCCUUCCCUUCAGAGCCUCCCCUGACUGAGGGCCUGCUCUAUUUGCCACAGCCUGCCUU